UACAGAGGGUGCAAGCGUUGUCCGGAAUCAUUGGGCGUAAAGCGCGUGUAGGCGGCUUGGUAAGUCCGCUCUGAAAGCCCGGGGCUCAACCCCGGGAGGCGGGUGGAUACUGUCAAGCUCGAGUCCGGAAGAGGCGAGUGGAAUUCCUGGUGUGGCGGUGAAAUGCGCAGAUAUCAGGAGGAACACCAAUGGCGAAGGCAGCUCGCUGGGACGUGACUGACGCUGAGACGCGAAAGCGUGGGGAGCAAACAGG
rnacentral:rRNA from 1 species